AAAUAGAAAAAACCCAGAAGAAAUGAGUUACAACACAGAUGCAGAGGAAUCAGAUUCAUCGAUGAGUUCCGCUCUUUCUUCCGACGAAAUCGAUUCGGAUUCCUCAAGCUUAGAGUCUGAUUUGAGCUCAGAAUGUGAAACUGUUCAAAAUCAACAAUCUCACCAUGAUUCAUCAGGAAACAGACCAAUAAACAGAAAACGUAA